UUGCACCCUGAUAUCAGACAGGACUACCCGCCUGACCUUAAGCAUAUACUCAUA
rnacentral:rRNA from 1 species